rnacentral:lncRNA from 1 species
GGUGGGCGUGGAGGAGGAAGAGGAUGAAGAGAAGUAGAUGAAAAGGAAGGAGAGGCAGAAAAAAGAGGGGUCGUCGAUGAAAAAAAGAUGGAGGUGAAGAGAGUCGACAUGGUGGAGGAGGGCUUAUAGGCAGACUUAAUGAGGAGGAUGGGAAAAGAAAUAGAUGAAAAGAAAAGGGAGGGGGAAAAGGAUCAUCAGUCAGGAAGAAGUGGAGGUGGAAGGUGCCACU